CCAACCACGUCCUUAUUUCCUUGCCUUUUUGUUCUCCAGUGUUUUCCCUGCCCUGGACUAGGAUAGGACAUGUCAUGUUUUGAGUUAGUGCAGCCUGGGACCAAUGUGUACAGUGUGGACUUCAGUAUUGAACCCUUUUGGUUCUUUGUCUCUUUUCCAGGGGCUUGGUGCCCAAAUCAGUCAGACAUCAGAACCCAGACAAGAUGUUCCCAGGUGGUGCUUGUGCCUAGGACCCGCAUAAGCUGUAUUUUCUUGGCCAGCUGGGUGGUGUCCCUGUAUCUGUCAUAGAAGCUUCCCGCCUUGGGCACACCUUUGUCAUCACUACAGGGACUUCUGGGAUCUUGCUGACUUCCACGAAGCUCAGGGAUUUCCAUGCAGGAGUAGAAGAUGAUGGGCAUGUGGCUGCAUGGUGCCUCAGAGCUCAGGCUCAGGAGCCAGACAUGCCUGCAUUGAAGUCAUUUCUGACCCUCACUGUGGUCUUGGGUGAGGUUUCUUCUUGUUUUGUUACUGAUGCAGAUGUGGAGGACCCUGGGUUGUGACUGGUAUUGGAAGAUGACAGAAUGAAGGGUACUGUCGUGAUGCCCAUUUCACAGAUGAAGAAACUGAGGUUUCUAGAGGUCCCGCCCCUGCCUGAGCUAAUGCAGUUUCAAAGGCUGAAGCCUAGACUCGAUUGGAGUUCGGCCUGCAGUGCCCUGGCUGAGCUACCUGCCUUCUAGCUCCACGGUGGAAGGGGAGAAUCCAGACGUCCUCGAGACCUGCCCAAGAAGUGUCCUUGUCACUGCUCUGCCAUCCUUCUGAUGCCACCCUGCUCCGUGUCUGGCUGGAGCCAGCCUGGUUAUGUCUGGGUUUGGGUCCAUAGCAGAUGUUCUCAGUGGCCUUACUAUUCGUGUGCACACCGGCCACUUUUGCCUGAAGCUCUCUGUGGCCACCAAUGCCACUUUGUUGAAAGUACUUGGAAAUUAAGACCCUCUAAGGAGUAUCUCUGAGUUGUGCCUGGUGAGUUUUCGGGUAGGAAUGGCCCAGCUCCUGCAGACCUAGGCGGGAUGUCUGAGGUGCACCUUCUACAUGCUCUCUCGGUUGGAUUAAGUCCUGGGAUGCCCACAGGAGUCACCGAGAGGUUAACCUUUUACAGCUGUCUUCCCUUCUCCAUAUUCAUCCCAUAUCCCCAGGCUAUCACCAGGGUUUCCCAGCAUCACCCCCAAGUAAACGUCUUGCACUGGAAUAAUCAUCUUGGGGUCUACUUGUGGCGGGACCCAGGUACUCACUGGGGUCAGACGCAUCUUCUCUGUGGGUGUGGGGGUUAUGGCGGGAGCCUAAAGACCCCACUGAUGCGGAAGCCGUGUCUUCCUUCAGAUAAUCCACAAUCUUUUUCAUGGUUUCCAUCACUUCUGCUUGCUGCUUUAUUACUUAUUUAUUACAUCUGCACCUGAGGUGGUGAGAAUUCUACUCUUAGACUGAUAGAAAAAGAACUAUUUUUUUCUCAGACAUUUCCACUUUUUUUUUUUUUUUCUGAGACUCAGUGUC